rnacentral:pre_miRNA from 1 species
CUAGUACUCCCUCCGUCCGAAAAAACUUGUCCCAAGCUUGUUCCUCAAAUGGAUGUAUCUAGCACUAACUUGGUGCUAGAUACAUCCAUUUUAGGGACAAGCUUUUUCGGACGGAGGGAGUAGGUA